rnacentral:rRNA from 1 species
CCCUUAGAUGUCCUGGGCCGCACGCGCGUUACACUGAUGCACUCAACGAGUAUAUAACCUUGGCCGAGAGGCCUGGGUAAUCUUGUUAACUUGCAUCGUGAUAGGGAUAGAUUAUUGCAAUUAUUAAUCUUGAACGAGGAAUUCCUAGUAAUCGCAGUUCAUCAAACUGCAGUGAUUACGUCCCUGCCCUUUGUACACACCGCCCGUCGCACCUACCGAUUGAAUGGUCCGGUGAAAUCUUCGGAUCUGAGAGAUGUUGGAUUAAUUUCUGACGCCUUUUGGAAAAGUCGCUUAAACCUUAUCAUUUAGAGGAAGGUGAAGUCGUAACA